UUCAAAGGAUGCCCUCCAUCCAAUGCAAACCGAGGAGCUGGAGGAGAGCAGCAGGGAGGGCCGGGAGCUGAGAGGGGAGCGCGGCAGCAGUCGCGGGACCGCAAGCUGGGGCGGCCUGGAACACAGCAGGCGCUUAAAGCCGGAGCAGCGGGAGAGGCGAACGAGGCCGGGCCACCAGGGGUCGCUGCUCCUCCCGGCGUGGGGCCUCCCCCGCCUCCUCGGGGUGGCUCCGCUGCGGGGGUGGGGGCGGCGCCGGCGCCAAAAUCAAACCCGCGCCUCCGCCGCUCGGCUCCGCCUCCAGCCGCCGCUGCUCCCGCUCGGGGAGCACCUCUGCGCCGAGCCAUGUCGAAGAAAAAAGGAUUGAGUGCAGAAGAGAAGAGAACUCGUAUGAUGGAGAUCUUUUUUGAGACGAAAGAUGUAUUUCAGUUGAAAGAUAUGGAGAAGAUUGCUCCCAGAGAGAAAGGAAUUACUGCUAUGUCAGUGAAGGAAGUCCUUCAAAGCCUAGUUGAUGAUGGUAUGGUGGACUCUGAGAGGAUUGGGACAUCUAAUUAUUUCUGGGCUUUUCCAAGCAAAGCAUUGCAUGCAAGGAAACGAAAACUGGAGACAUUAUCAACUCAGUUUUCAGAGGGGAAUCAGAAGAAAGAGAAUCUGCAACAAAGCAUCAAGAAAGCCAAAAUUGGCCGUCAAGACACGGAAGAACGUGCUUCACUCUCAAAGGAGCUCGCUUCCCUCCAGCAGAAGAAGGAGGAGCUGAAGGCUGAAUUGGAAAAAUACAAAGAAUGUGAUCCUGAAGUUAUAGAAGAAAUACCACUUAAUACGGUAGCAUAUAGUGAGCCGGAGAAAUUCUUUAUCUGGGGUCUGUGGACUCCCAAGGGGCUGUGUCAAGAGAUCAAGAGGAAGGACCUCUGUGCAUUAGGUAGUACCUUGUGGGAAGGUCUGGACAAGAGUUACACAGGCUCCCGUACACAGGGAUGAGCCAGCUGCUGUCUUAACUGUCUGUUAAUGAAGGGCAAGCAAAUAAAGUAGCCAAGGAUGCUGCUAACAGAUGGACUGAUAACAUAUUUGCUAUAAGAUCUUGGGCCAAAAGGAAAUUUGG